AACGAACGCUGGUGGCAGGCUUAACACAUGCAAGUCGAACGCAUCCUUCGGGGUGAGUGGCAGACGGGUGAGUAACGCGUGGGAAUCUACCCAUCUCUGCGGAAUAGCUCCGGGAAACUGGAAUUAAUACCGCAUACGCCCUACGGGGGAAAGAUUUAUCGGGGAUGGAUGAGCCCGCGUUGGAUUAGCUAGUUGGUGGGGUAAAGGCCUACCAAGGCGACGAUCCAUAGCUGGUCUGAGAGGAUGAUCAGCCACAUUGGGACUGAGACACGGCCCAAACUCCUACGGGAGGCAGCAGUGGGGAAUAUUGGACAAUGGGCGCAAGCCUGAUCCAGCCAUGCCGCGUGAGUGAUGAAGGCCUUAGGGUUGUAAAGCUCUUUCACCGAUGAAGAUAAUGACGGUAGUCGGAGAAGAAGCCCCGGCUAACUUCGUGCCAGCAGCCGCCGUAACAC
rnacentral:rRNA from 1 species